CAGAGGGGCAAGCGUUGUUCGGAAUUACUGGGCGUAAAGGGCGCGUAGGCGGCCCGCUAAGUCGAACGUGAAAUCCCUGGGCUCAACCCAGGAACUGCGUCCGAUACUGGUUGGCUUGAAUCCGGGAGAGGGAUGCGGAAUUCCAGGUGUAGCGGUGAAAUGCGUAGAUAUCUGGAGGAACACCGGUGGCGAAGGCGGCAUCCUGGACCGGCAUUGACGCUGAGGCGCGAAAGCCAGGGGAGCAAACGGGAUUAGAUACCCCGGUAGUCCUGGCCCUAAACGAUGAAUGCUUGGUGUGGCGGGUAUCGAUCCCUGCCGUGCCGAAGCUAACGCAUUAAGCAUUCCGCCUGGGGAGUACGGUCGCAAGGCUG
rnacentral:rRNA from 1 species